CCCUUAGAUGUUCUGGGCCGCACGCGCGCUACAAUGAUGAAUUCAACGAGUUUAUAACCUUGGUUGAAAAGCCUGGGUAAUCUUUUGAACUUUCGUCGUGAUGGGGCUAGACCCUUGCAAUUAUUGGUCUCCAACGAGGAAUUCCUAGUAAACGCAAGUCAUCAGCUUGCAUUGAUUACGUCCCUGCCCUUUGUACACACCGCCCGUCGCACCUACCGAUUGGGUGAGCCGAUGAAACUCUCGGAUGUAGGCUAUUCAUAGCCCGCAGAAGAGAUUUGAAUCGUAGCGCUUAGAGGAAGGAGAAGUCGUAACA
rnacentral:rRNA from 1 species